AUAAUAUUGGUUCAAUGAAUUUUAGUUUUCUUUCUUAAUGUGAUUGUUUUCUUUCUGAAUAUAACUUCCUCUAUUUCAUUUUCAUUAUUUGAUUUCGUAUUCAAUUAAUGCGAAUUUUAAUGUAAAAUUUAUUAAUCGAUUAAACACUUUAAACAACUUAACUUUAAUUUGUAUAUAACAUUUUUAUUCAUUCAAAUUUAAAUAUAUACUUAAAUGAUUCCAAAUUCGUUGACUAUAUAAAUGAAUAUACUUUAUGUGAAAUAAUAGUCAAUGUUGUUAGCACUUAAUAUUUUUUUAAAUAUAUAUUGGCAAUUGUAUUUUUAUUUACACAGUAUUGGUAGUACUACAUAUCCAAAUUUUCCAUCUUUAGUUGAAAUAUAAGUUUAAAAAGUUGUUUUUCUUUGUGGAUAUAAUACAUCAUACAUCUAUUAUUAAUAAAAAUAUUACAUCAUAUUGCUUUUUUUAUACAUGUGAAGAAGAUAAAACCUUUGUUUGAACUCUCUAUUAGUGUAAAUCAAAUACUAA